CACGUAGGGGGCAAGCGUUGUCCGGAUUUAUUGGGCGUAAAGAGCUCGUAGGCGGUUUGUCACGUCUGCUGUGAAAUCCCGAGGCUCAACCUCGGGCCUGCAGUGGGUACGGGCAGACUGGAGUGCGGUAGGGGAGAUUGGAAUUCCUGGUGUAGCGGUGGAAUGCGCAGAUAUCAGGAGGAACACCGAUGGCGAAGGCAGAUCUCUGGGCCGUAACUGACGCUGAGGAGCGAAAGCGUGGGGAGCGAACAGG
rnacentral:rRNA from 1 species